UAAAAAUCGGAUAACGUAUAAAUGGGUCCUUUGUGCCACUACAAUGGCUAAAAGACUAAUACAUAUUGGAAACAAGUAUAGCAAUAGCACUUAUCACUUCAUAGUGCUUUAAAGCACUCUAAGUGGCUUAAAGUGUCAGCAUAUUGCCACCAACAAUCUGGGUCCUCAUUUUACAACCACAGAAGGGUGGAAAGUUGAGUUAAUUUUGAGCCAAUCAGGAUUAAACUCCUGGCAGUGGGCAGUUAGCUUGCAAUAUACUACUGUACCAGCUGUACAGUACAGCUGUACUGUAUGGUUCAGUAAUUACUACUAGUAGUAAUAGUAGCAGUAGUAUUGUAUUGUAUUGUAUUGGAAAGAUAAUGUAUGGUUCCAUUUAUUCAAUGGAUUGAAGACGUUACUGCAGUUGCCCCAAAUGAGUGGAUUGCCUACAGCAGGGGUGACAAAUUCAAUUUCACUGAGGGCUACAUCAGGGUUGUGUUUGACCUCUGUGGGCCUGGUGGGCAUGGCCAGGGUGGGCGUGGCCAACUGACAUCACUCAUUUUAGAGGCACCUUUGGUAGCCCGAGUGCUCUGCCAGGUCAAACGGGCUACCAAGCUCCAUUUCUGGCUGCAACGGCCUCCUGCAACCAUCUUCCGGUGAAAAUGGAGCCCGGGAGGGCUACACACAGCCCUCACCAGUUCCAUUUUCAGCUGUGAUGGCUUCCUGCAAUUCUCUGCCAGCAAAAAGGCAGAGGCCUUUGUUGUAGAGGCACUGUGAGCCAGUCCUUCGCUGUUUCCAGGAUAGCCCCGCGGACCAGAUCUAAGCAUCCCGCAGGCUGGAUUCAUCCCCCGAGCCUUGAGUUUGACACCCCUGGCUUACAGAAACCAACUUUGUACAGGUAAGCAUAAAGAAAUAUUGGUGUCAAUUAUACAGAGGGUUAAAAAAGAUGUAUAGAUAUACAUACAUGCUUAAAUAUUUGCAUUAAAAAAGUAUAUAUAGAAACUAUUGUUAUGACAUAUCUUUUUUCUUUUUUGGAUUUCAUUUUAAAUUUUUAUAGAUUCUUUUUUUCUCUCUGACAAUGUAUACAUCAGUAUCACUAUUAUCUUUAUGUUUUCCUUUUUUCCUUUUUUGUUAUUAAUUAAAAAGCAAUGGAAAUAAAAAUUUAAAAAAUCCUAGAAUUUGGCAGUGGUGAAAUUUGAUAGUCAGACCGGAAAAUAUUCAUCCCACCAUUGUGAUUUGAUGGAUCCUUCCACGUUAUCAUCUUUUUUUUAGAAUAGGUGUGUCACAAUUAAAAGAAGUAGUGUAUUACCCUCUAGAAAUUUAGUUUUGGCUUUCAUUUUAUUAGUCUGUUCAGUACUGCUUUAGUGCAACAGAUAAAGGGUUCACUUUUAAGGUCUUUCUCUGCUUUCCUAGUCAAUUGUCUGAGGCUGAAAUGUUGCUGCUUCUUUUUGCAAGGCUUCUGGCUACAGGGAGCAGACAAUUAAAAAAGAAAAAAGAAUUUUAUCAGGGUGUUCAGAAGGAAAAAAAUAGAAAGCUGGAUAGUUCCAUCUCUCCUGCUGAAGGGCCAGCUCCGUUAGUCUGUCGUUCUGUAUCCAGCUGAUCUUUACAGGGUUUAGAGUACUGCUGUCAGAGAUGCAAAAGACAUUGUUAAGGAAGAUCAUGAAUUACAAAGAGGCAUUAAAAGAUCAAGCAGACGUCCAUCCAGAUGAAGUUUAUUCAAAAGAAGAUUAGUGAGUGUUGAGAAAUUUGGUGAGUUAACUUUUCUUUCAGUUUCUAGUAUGUGGCACUAGUUGACUCUGAAAAGAAGUAAAUCUUCUGAGUUGUAAAACUAAUUAAAAUUC